ACGGAAGGCAGCAGUGGGGAAUAUUGCACAAUGGGGGAAACCCUGAUGCAGCGACGCCGCGUGAGUGAAGAAGUAUUUCGGUAUGUAAAGCUCUAUCAGCAGGGAAGAAAAUGACGGUACCUGACUAAGAAGCCCCGGCUAACUACGUGCCAGCAGCCGCGGUAAUACGUAGGGGGCAAGCGUUAUCCGGAUUUACUGGGUGUAAAGGGAGCGUAGACGGCGAUGCAAGUCUGAUGUGAAAGCCCGGGGCUCAACCCCGGCACUGCAUUGGAAACUGUGUUGCUAGAGUGCAGGAGAGGUAAGUGGAAUUCCUAGUGUAGCGGUGAAAUGCGUAGAUAUUAGGAGGAACACCAGUGGCGAAGGCGAUCUACUGGACGAUAACUGACGCUGAGGCGCGAAAGCGUGGGGAGCAAACAGGAUUAGAUACCCUGGUA
rnacentral:rRNA from 1 species